UGCCAAUGGAGAAGAAGGAGUAGUAGGAGCAUUUGCAGGAGCAGAGACAGGUGUUACUGCAGAUGGAGGAGUCGCCACCGGAGGUGACGAUGCUACCGGUGGUGGAGAACUCUUCGGAGAAGCUGCCGGAGAUGCUCCUGGUGCCUGAGCAAAUGCAGAUCCAACCACCAAAGCCAACAUUAGAGCAACGAUUACCUUUGAGUAUGCCAUUCUAGCCUUUAGACGAGGAGAUUUUUCGAGAAAGAGAAGUGGAAUAAAGCGCAAAAGAGAUAAAAGAGGAAUAUGACUGUUGUUGAGUACCGUUUGAGAAAAAGGAAAGGAGGAGAGUCUAUUUAUAGGAGGGAAAAUGGAAAUAUGAGGAAAAAUAAAUUUUAAUUUUUAGUUAGUCGGUUUAGAAGAAAAUUAAUUUGAAAUAAGGACUCUGGACUGGACUAAUAAUUUGUUGACAUCUAACGACAGAAGAAGAG
rnacentral:lncRNA from 1 species